GAUGAACGCUGGCGGCGUGCCUAAUACAUGCAAGUCGAGCGAACAGACGAGGAGCUUGCUCCUCAGACGUUAGCGGCGGACGGGUGAGUAACACGUGGAUAACCUACCUAUAAGACUGGGAUAACUUCGGGAAACCGGAGCUAAUACCGGAUAAUAUAUUGAACCGCAUGGUUCAAUAGUGAAAGACGGUUUUGCUGUCACUUAUAGAUGGAUCCGCGCCGCAUUAGCUAGUUGGUAAGGUAACGGCUUACCAAGGCAACGAUGCGUAGCCGACCUGAGAGGGUGAUCGGCCACACUGGAACUGAGACACGGUCCAGACUCCUACGGGAGGCAGCAGUAGGGAAUCUUCCGCAAUGGGCGAAAGCCUGACGGAGCAACGCCGCGUGAGUGAUGAAGGUCUUCGGAUCGUAAAACUCCGUUAUUAGGGAAGAACAAAUGUGUAAGUAACUAUGCACGUCUUGACGGUACCUAAUCAGAAAGCCACGGCUAACUACGUG
rnacentral:rRNA from 1 species